AUGGCUGAAGGAACAUCUACCAGUAAUCUACUACGACAUUGCCCUGAUGUUGAGGAAUUUUUUUUUUCUUUGGAACAUUUCCGUUCACAGAGACUGUGGAGAGAUUGGAGAAUUUACUGCCGAUGGAGAGCUUCUGGGACACUGACAAACAGCACAUCCCAACAAGUUCAUUUGGAGUUCUUUUUUAUUCUUUAUUUAGUCAAACUUGCAUUCACUAAUGCUGGAGUAAGAUUUUAGAAGAAAACUUUCGGUCCUGUUUAAUGUUGGUGCUAGUAAAGGUUUGAGAAUUUAUGGCCUGGUUUCACAGACAGGGCUUAGACUAAGCCAGGAUCAUAGUUAAAUAAGGACAUUUAAGUCAUUUUCAUUAACAUGUCUUAGAAAAAAACAUUACUGGUGUGCAUCUUGAGAUAAAACAAAGGCACAGAUAUUUUUAAAGAUCAGUCUGUGCAAGUUUCUUUCAGUUGAAACAGCUCAGAAUUAUAUUUAAUUCAAUUCAAAUGAGCUUCAUUGGCAUGACUUGCACAGUAUUGCCAAAGCAUAAUUAUAGAAUUACAUUUUAGUCCGGGGCUGGUCUUAAGCCUUGUCUGUGAAACCCGGGCUACCAUUAACACACUUUGGCAAUGUUUAACAAUAAGGUCUCAUUUGCUCUACAUGGAAUGAUAAUUUUCUUGAUUUUUUUUUUUAUUUUAUUUUAUUUGUAUUAAGUUUGUGUGUUAGUAAUCCUAUACGUUAUCGGGGCCAAAUGACUCCACAAGGAUAGUAAUACCAGUAAAUUGUAUUGAUUUUGUGGACAUUGAGGAAACAGGCUUAUAGAUCAUACAGAAUUAUGUUUUCUGUGAUGGUGAGAUUAGGUACUUUGGUAUGCAAGUAUGUAAGUGAUUUUGCAUUGUUCUCCAGACUCUUUCUAAUAAGUGAGUUAAAGUGUUGCAACUGUGUAUAGUGUUGGAUUUUUCUUGUGCAUCAGCAAAAAGCCUUUUUGUGUAUUUGUUUUAUUGAUUGUUUUGUCAAUAAAUGUAGAGGGUUUUCCA
ensembl:lncRNA